rnacentral:rRNA from 1 species
AGAGAGAGACAUGCGCGCAUAUCAAUAAGCGGAGGAAAAGAAACUAACAAGGAUUCCCUUAGUAACGGCGAGUGAAGCGGGAAGAGCUCAAAUUUGAAAUCUUCAAGGUUCUACCUUGACGAAUUGUAGUUUAUAGAAGUGUUUUCUGUUAGUGGAGUGGCAAAAGUUCUUUGGAAUAGGACAUCAUAGAGGGUGAGAAUCCCGUAUUUGGUCAUUCCUCCUAGCGUUGUGAUACACCUUCAACGAGUCGGAUUGUUUGGGAAUGCAGUCCAAAAUGGGUGGUAAAUUUCAUCUAAAGCUAAAUACUGGCGAGAGACCGAUAGCGAACAAGUACCGUGAGGGAAAGAUGAAAGGAACUUUGAAAAGAGAGUUAAACAGUACGUGAAAUUGUCAAAAGGGAAGCGUUUGACACCAGUGUUGUUUUUCCGAAAAUCAAUUACGAAUGUAUUAUUUUUGAGGAGUUAUGACUUCAUCGGCUUGCUCCUUUCUUUACUGAAACUUUCUUAAUGCACUUUUCGGUUAACAAGUCAACAUCAAUUUCUUUUGUUGUAAAAGGGUAUGAGGAAGGUGGCUUUCUUUUCGAAGAAAGUGUUUAUAGCCUUGUGCCUCUGCAAUCGGAGAGAUUGAGGUCUGCAGCGUAGAUCCUUCGGGGUUAGAUACGUUUGUGCUAAGUUAUAGCUUUUCAUAGACAACUUGUUGACUAUGUUUAGUCUUGUAGCUUACUCGCUGAUGCUAUUUUACCUACGCUUAGGAUGUUGAUAGUCACAGCGUGUA